rnacentral:rRNA from 1 species
CAGUCGUACCGACGAGAAAUCAACUCUUCGAAUGGGUAAUUGCGGGCGUAUGAGAGCUUCACGGCCUCAUCGUUUGCAAAUGCAUGUUCUUUGGGUGUACUUUUUCGUAUGGUUUGUCAACGUCGGUUUCGAUUGCUAUAAAAUGAUCGGAGGAAUGUAGCUUCGACUUCGGUUGAAGUGUUAUAGCCUUUGGUAGAUGUAGUGAUUGGGAUCGAGGAUUGCAACGAAUACCCUUUGGGCUAUCCGUCUGACCUCUGAAGGUUGCUUAGGUGCCGAAAGCGUGCUUACGGAUAUUUAAGCCAGCGUUCAAAAGGUUAGAACGUGAUUAAA